UACGAAGGGUGCAAACGUUGCUCGGAAUUAUUGGGCGUAAAGCGCACGUAGGCGGCUACGAAAGUCGGAUGUGAAAUCCCUCGGCUCAACCAAGGAAGUGCACCCGAAACUGCGUAGCUUGAGUACCAAAGAGGAUCGCGGAAUUCCCGGUGUAGAGGUGAAAUUCGUAGAUAUCGGGAGGAACACCAGUGGCGAAGGCGGCGAUCUGGGUGGUUACUGACGCUGAGGUGCGAAAGCGUGGGGAGCAAACAGG
rnacentral:rRNA from 1 species